UGAUGAUGAUGAUGAUGGUGGUGGUGGUGGGGACGAUGAUGAUGAUAGUCAUCUUUUUCUUUAUCGCCAUAAUCAUCAUCAUCCUCAUCAUCAUCAUCAUCCUCUUCA
rnacentral:pre_miRNA from 1 species